GGAGUUAGCCGGUGCUUCUUCUGUGAGUGAUGUCCUUCCUGCCGGCUAUUAACCCGCAGGCCUUCUUCCUCACUGAAAGUGCUUUACAACCCGAAGGCCUUCUUCACACACGCGGCAUGGCUGGAUCAGGGUUGCCCCCAUUGUCCAAUAUUCCCCACUGCUGCCUCCCGUAGGAGUCUGGGCCGUGUCUCAGUCCCAGUGUGGCUGAUCAUCCUCUCAGACCAGCUACGGAUCGUCGCCUUGGUGAGCCGUUACCUCACCAACCAGCUAAUCCGACAUAGGCUCAUCCGAUAGCGCGAGGCCCGAAGGUCCCCCGNUUUCCCCCGGUAGGGCGUAUGCGGUAUUAGCCUGGGUUUCCCCAGGUUAUCCCCCACUACCGGGCAGAUUCCUAUGCAUUACUCACCCGUCCGCCGCUCGCCACCAGGGAGCAAGCUCCCCGUGCUGCCGCUCGACUUGCAUGUGUUAGGCCUGCCGCCAGCGUUCAAUCUGAGCCAGGAUCAAACUCUGA
rnacentral:rRNA from 1 species